rnacentral:rRNA from 1 species
CCUACGGGUAGCAGCAGUGGGGAAUAUUGCACAAUGGGGGAAACCCUGAUGCAGCGACGCCGCGUGAGUGAAGAAGUAUUUCGGUACGUAAAGCUCUAUCAGCAGGGAAGAAACUGACGGUACCUGACUAAGAAGCCCCGGCUAACUACGUGCCAGCAGCCGCGGUAAUACGUAGGGGUCAAGCGUUAUCCGGAUUUACUGGGUGUAAAGGGAGCGUAGACGGCAGCGCAAGUCUGGAGUGAAAUCCCAUGGCUUAACCAUGGAACUGCUUUGGAAACUGUGCAGCUAGAGUGCAGGAGAGGUAAGCGGAAUUCCUAGUGUAGCGGUGAAAUGCGUAGAUAUUAGGAGGAACACCAGUGGCGAAGGCGGCUUACUGGACUGUAACUGACGUUGAGGCUCGAAAGCGUGGGGAGCAAACAGGAUUAGAUACCCUUGUAGUC